rnacentral:RNase_MRP_RNA from 1 species
CGGAGCUACAAACCAAGCGGAGGAAGGGAAACCUUUCGGUUGCUUGAAUUGCUCUGGGGAAAGUCCCCGGACACUGGGCAGCAAGUGCCACGUGCCGAAGGAGUGCACGUCCACGCGUGGGCAGCCCCGCUCUGCCGAGUGGAAAGGGUCGCUGCGCCAUGACGCCUGCUGAGACACCCCGUGCCCUGUGCAGGGGUUGCAGCACGGCUGAGCCGAGCGACCCGCGUGCGCCAGCGUGAUCGUCCAAACACAGUGAUACAGUCAACGGGGGCACGGCAAUAUGCGGCGGGAGAGCGGCCCUCGGGUCGUUCCCCACGAUGCGCUGUGCUCUGGUCAACACAACGGGGCUCACUCUUGC